rnacentral:rRNA from 1 species
UGCGUAACGCGUGGGAAUCUGCCCUUAGGUACGGAAUAACUCAGGGAAACUUGAGCUAAUACCGUAUAAUGACUCCGGUCCAAAGAUUUAUCGCCUGAGGAUGAGCCCGCGUCGGAUUAGCUAGUUGGUGAGGUAAAGGCUCACCAAGGCGACGAUCCGUAGCUGGUCUGAGAGGAUGAUCAGCCACACUGGGACUGAGACACGGCCCAGACUCCUACGGGAGGCAGCAGUGGGGAAUAUUGGACAAUGGGCGCAAGCCUGAUCCAGCAAUGCCGCGUGAGUGAUGAAGGCCUUAGGGUUGUAAAGCUCUUUUACCCGGGAAGAUAAUGACUGUACCGGGACAAUAAGCCCCGGCUAACUCCGUGCCAGCAGACGCGGUAAUACGGAGGGGGCUAGCGUAGUUCGGAAUUACUGGGCGUAAAGCGCACGUAGGCGGAUUUG